CGAGCCAGCCGGAGCGGUUCCUAGGAGACAUCCUAGGAGGGCAGCAGCACAGCAGGAGGAUGAGCCUGCAGAUGCACCGGCACAACAGCCUGAGCCUUUUCAGAUGAGAGACAUGUACAUGUCUAUGAUGGAGGCGAGGAUGAAGUCCCUUUGUAGAGUUUCGUAGUGUGAUGGCGUGGCCUCAAGGGCAGACACAGGGUAGUGGGUCCGGAGCAGUUGGGACGUCAGGCGGACAGGAGAUGACUAUGAGGAUGAAGACUUUGAGGAUGCCCAAGAGGAGGAUGAGUAUGAUUCAGAUGAGGAUCUGCGCUGAGGGUAUCUACUAAUGGAUGCCAGCAUUUGACAGGGAUUUUUCUU
rnacentral:lncRNA from 1 species